rfam:Rubrivivax gelatinosus IL144 DNA, complete genome.
UCCCCGAUAGCUCAGUCGGUAGAGCGCCGGACUGUUAAUCCGUAGGUCCCUGGUUCGAGCCCAGGUCGGGGAG